UAUAGUAGUAUGCUGCUAACUGUGGGAUAGAGUCCUUGACGUUGAGCUUUCACCUAUAAAUAAUUUAUACAUCGGUGUUAUCUAUGGAUUAAGGUUAUACUACUAACUUGAUUUUCAACUGUGCAACUAGAAGCUUGGACAGACUCUAAUCAACCUGAGCAAGAUGUUACAGAUGAAGGAACAGGAGCAGCAGGAAGACCAAAUCAUGAUUUCUAGGUACAAAGCAGACAUUGCUGCUGUAUCUAGAAGAUGCGAUACACUUGAAAAAAGAGCUUGAAGAGAUGCAACAUAACUACCAGCUCCUGCAAGAUGAGCAUAGCAUGCUACAACUAACAUAUAGCUCACUGGAAGGGCGAAUGCAGAAGACUGAAUAUGAGAACAGAGAACUGAUAGAGCGCUGGAGGGGAUCGAAGGCUGCAGAAGCACAGACAGUGAACAAGCACAAUGACAAGAAGGAAAGGUACAGAAAAUGCUGGCAAAGCUGAAAAGAAAACUUGAGCAGCUGAAAUGAAAUUCUUCGACCUCAAAACUGUGAGUGGUUAUUGUUUCACAUGGCUCUUUUUGGACUAGAAAGCUCAUUCUGUGACAUUUUUUUCAGAACUAGUGUGACUGGCAGUGCUGAAUGGCUGCAGUCAACCCUGAUUUUCAUUACAUUCUGCUACUUUAAAGACAGAGGAGAAAUGAGUGAUAUAAUUAUGUAACUAGAAAUGUUUCACAGUAAUAAACAGGAGUAAUACAUUCAUACUAUACAGAUACAGAGAAUGUCUUAGUCUCAGCUGAAGGACACACUGUUUUUUACCUCUGAAGAGUGUUCAUCCAUACUACAUGAGAUUCAGAUGCUUUUGUCUCCAUUGUGUUGUUGCCUUCCUUACACCAUUAAGUGGCACACAUUUUAUUCACAACCAUUUGAAGAAGAAAUGUCUCAUUUGACUAUUCAGGCAAGAACACUUGUAUGUUCAUGGUCACCACAUGGGGAUUAGUGACUAGAUGGACUGGAUUUGACAUGGAGACCCAUUUAAAUUCUUUGCAGAAGCCACACCCUGAGGCCAGCAUUAGCCACUCUACUUGCAAAGCUGUGGAAGUGCUGUAACCCUUGAAAUAGCAAAUCUUACAACUUCCUUUAAGUUGGAAUAUUUGAAGCAUUUGUCACAAGCCCAGUAAAUGACAAUUCCCCAAAGUUACAGUUACAGCAUGACAGUUUGUAAGACGAUGUACAUUGGCUAUGACAGCUACGUGACAAAAUAGUUAUAUGAAGUGUCUAACAGACCUAGAAUUGCUGUUGCAUUGGUUAUAUGUUGUUAUGUUCUGUCCUUUGUACUGGCCAUGGGUAUGUUUUGGUCCGCAAAAUCUGAUGUCUGUACCACAAUUGUCCCACUUUGGCCAUUUGAAAAGGUGGCAACUGUAAUAGAUACUUAUUUAGACUGCAUCUGGUGUUAAUGCUGCAUGCAUUUGAUGUUGAUUAUCAUGUGUGUUUGUCACCAUAAUUUCAGCUUUUUCUGAAAUGUCACUGUUUUCCCAUUGAGUUGUGCAUACUGCUGCAUUUGGUCUUAUUCACUUCUCUCUGCUCUACUUGUUGUAAUAAUCUUUCUUCAUGCUUAUUGAAAUUUUAUUUUGUUGUCUUUAUUGCCUGUAAGGCUUGGGUGUUCAUAUGGCUACAGUUUUUGCUUUUCACAUUAGAACUUGAAUAUUUAUUAUUUUUUCUUUUUACCUGUUUGUUAACUGGAUAAGCCCACUGGACACAGCUGCCCCUUUUCAGAGACAACCCUAGAGCACCGUAUUUUUAAGUGACAUGCUUAGAGUCACACAACAGGCAGAUCUAGGUGGAAGGAAUCAAAGCCUGUACCCCAAGCACAGGAAGCAAGAUAUUUAACAUCUCAGAGCCAUAAUCCUCUAAGCUAACUACCGGAUGGUUUCCAGGACAGAGUCUGGUUAUUUUAGAAAAAUGACAUUAAAUGGUAUCAUAGAGUAGUCCUGGGGUGCAGAGAGGAUUAUUGUCCAUGUACUAAAUAUCCUGUAAUGAAACUUUUGAACUAAAGCUCUUUUUCCUGCCUCUGCUAAUAUUUCUUGUGAAUGUAUAACACCUGCAACAUUUGUUAAUGAAGACUGAGUGUACUUUUAAAUUGCUUUUGUUAAAUUUUCAUAUUCCAUGGAGAAACUGUUGUAAUUUGAGUUCCUGACAUAUAAACAUAAAUAAAGCUAUGUACCUGUCUUUUCUCAUUAUACUUUCUGUUUACCCAGGUUUUGUCACUGAUGCUUUGAAACUUUUGUUGGAAGUAAUUUGCUCUUAUAUGUCAGUAUAAUGUCAUUUGUUUGAUCAACAUUGUUUAUGUUAACAAAAAUGAUCCAUACGUAAUAAAAGCACUGUCUCAGUUCCCACUUGUAGUUAAUAACUAUAAAUGUUAAAAAUAAAAUUACUUUUGUUGUGUAUUUCUUAAUUGUAUCAAUAAAUUGUAAA